rnacentral:misc_RNA from 1 species
ACCAUGAUCCCAUGUUGCUG